UGUUUGCCUUUGUUAAUAUUUUUAUAGUGUAAUCUUGACGAAAUUUGUGAUUAUAGAAGUGUAAAAUACAAUCUUAAUAGUGUGCAAACUUACAAUUCCAAUUAAUUAUAGUCGAAUUUCGACUACUGCGGGACCUCUAGUUGUUUAUAAGUUGAUUUCGAUAAACGAGUAAGAGAUUAGAAAGCUCGGACAAUGCUAUUGUCAAUUUGAAACGUCAAACAAAAGGUUUCUACAACGGAAUUGUGAAUUUUUAUAACCUAAAAGCCAUCUUCGAUGGAAACGAGACUUAAAACAUUAAACAACUCACAAGAACAAUAAGUAAGUAUCAACGCAAUAAUGGAACCGAUGGCUUAGCAGCUUAAGCCAUAGGCUUUCAAAUUUGAGGGGCGCGUGUUUGUAAAACAAAAUUGCAACGCCUCGUUGUCGAUACUAAUUUAUUACAUGAAAAAUUGUAUGUUGCAUUUGAAGCAUUCUGAUAUUAUUAUGACUGUCUUUCUGUAUUUAAUUUCUCGGAUGUAGAAUUCAUAUAUCAUAGUCAUUAUUCGUAAUAAGUAUUUACGUGGUACUAGAUAAUGACCGGUUUUUUUUUAUGAUAACGCCAUCUUGUUGUGUCUUUAAAGCGAUUAGUUGCCCUCAAUUAAGAAAAAUAGUAUUAUUAUUCGCCAAUAGAUGACGGGAAGAGUUGAUUAUUGAAAACACGAAUAAAACAACAUUUUCUGAAAAUAAAUCGUAGCUAGAUCGAUUUAUCGCCCCCGAAAUCCCCUGUAUACUAAAUUUUAUGAAAAUCGUUGGAGCCGUUUCCGAGAUUCAGAUUAUAUAUAAGAAUUGUUCGUUUAAAGGUAUAAAAUAUAAGAUUUACGUUUAGCUUAUACAAUUAUUGUUUUUCAUUUUUCAUAUUUCAUUCAUUUCUUUCGUUUCAUUCAUUUCGUUCUUUUAAUUCAUAUUUAUUUAUUGCAUAAAUGCAUGAACCAGCUUACGAUUCCCCUGGUGUCAAGUGGUUACCGAAGCCCAUAUACCACACAAUUAAUAAUGUUAUAUAUGUAUAUUCUGAGGUGAGGCGUUUAUUACAGUUAAGGCUUACUCAGAAGGAUAGCUCAAAAUAGGAUUACCAAUUAUACAAAUUAUAUCCAUGAAAUUUAUGAUCCAUUGAUCAUUGUGCAAUUUGAGAUGGGACAAGGUAACAUAAGGCUUAAGUCGUGCUCAUUUAAGUUACUUUUUUAACUUUCAUACGAUUUUUCAACACUCAAGCUUAUUUGCAAAGAGACAGCGAAGGAUCGCAUCCUAUGGAAAGCAAUCUCAGGAACAAUGAACAUGCAAUGAGCAUUCUUAAAUGACCCUUGAUGCAUUGUAGUUGAGCUUAUCUUUUGUUUCUGGCUGAGUGCUCUGUCAUUGUCUUCCGCUUUUUGAGGUAGGAAAUCGGAAUCUAAAUGCAUAUGUCUUCCAAUCUCUUCCAAUGCAUUCUAAUGAAACUUGCGGUCCAAUCCAAGAAAAUGAAAUUUUUCAUGGGGUUACGGUUCGGCUGUCGGAGGGUGUGUCCAAAAUCCAACCCAACCCAAACAAAUAGACAACACAACGUGAAUACCGCCACCCACCUUGAGAUAUGAGCUUAAAGUCUCAACUAUAAAUUAUAUAAAGUUUGUCCUUCCCUUAAACUGCUAGGCAGCGGCCUGGCUCUGCCCCUGGCAUUUCUGAGGUCCAUGGGCGACGGUAACCACUCACCAUCAGGUAUCAUCAGGACGUAUGCUCGUCUAUCUACAAAGGCAAUAAAAAUAAAAAAGAACGCAAGACAGUUAAUUCUUAUCAUUUCGUACACGGAUUUCUUACACGCUGUUUUAAUUUUCUUUGUACAUAAGUUCAUGACAAGACAGCAAGCAACAUACAACACUUGAAAACAAAAGCGGGCCAUAGUCCCAUUCAAUGUCACAACGCCCUCUUUCGCUUGGGGCUUAGAAAUCAUAAGCCUAAUUCUUUCACGUAAGUUUGUCUUAACAAGAAAACACUUAAAAUAUGCUAUCGAGUAAUCGGCUUCAUUUCUCAAGAUGAGCGCCGGCAUUUAAGUUAUGAUGUCCACAAGCUCAAGUAUCUCAACAUCAGAUCGGACGUGAGCUAAUCACUCGCCUACAAACAGAUAAGCCCGGUAAGUUAGCGCUAGUACUUCUCAAGAGUUUGGCUCAUCUUUGAAUCGGUAUUAUAGUUUACUUUCAAAAAGAAUUUAUAAAAUUAAUUACAAAUAUAUAAAAAAAAAAUUACGUUCCUUCUAUUCAUUCCCGAUCCUCCUGACGCAAAUUAUAGACUGCAACUAAUAAUAGAUUUUAGUCGCUUGGCUGGUAGUAAACUGGGUCCGCUUACGUCAAUAAAAUAAUGGUAACUAUGCCCGCUUUCAUUAGGUUACUUAUAGAAAGAGUGUCAGAUGUCGGUUUAAGCUUGUAAGGAUUAUUCUAGAUGCGAAAAAAUAUUAUACACGCACCCUACCAAACUUUAUCAUAUUAUUAAAUAAACCGGCCAUUUUCAGUACUUUUACAUUAAUCAUUCCAACAAAUCAGCUCUCAGUUUUCAUUCAACAUGACAAGUUAACAGUCUUUUUGAAAAUUUUAAGCACACAUUAUAACGUGCCAUAAAUAUGAAUAGCCCAACUCCAUCGACAUGCCCGCGAUUAUAAAUUAUAACUGUUUAUCGUAGAAGCUUUUGUUUUUUUUUUUCGAUCCAGUGCUUGGCUGUGUUCCAGAUAAUCUUGGACGUGUGUAUUAAAUACCUAUCAACAGAUGGAUAGAUUAAAAUAAACACACCUUAAUUUAUUUUAAUCUAUACUAAUAUAUAAAUCUACAGUGGUUUUUACGGAUGUUCCGUUAUAACUACUGAACUAUGCAUCCGAUUGACUUGAAACUUGGUAUCCGUGUAGAAGAUACAUGUACUUAAUGGAUAGGGUAAUAUUUAUACGAAUGUUGGACUCUCUACACCAGUUGCGGGGGCGUUAAUGAUGAUAAUCUUUGUAGGGUAAGAAAUAAUAACGUUAAUUUGAAAUGCCCAGCGAAGCGGACGGGUACAACUAGUAUCUAAUAAAUGUAGACUAAAUUAAAUAAUUUCAGCCAUGUUUAAACAGAUAAAUUUUGGGAAUAUUUCAGAAAAUCUAAAAGAUGGGAACAUUUUCAUUUCGCUGACCUCUGGAUUCUCAUCGUCCUGGCUAUCCUUGCCACGGAACCCAUACGUAGGUUCGAUCCCGGACUUACAUAUACGGGAUUUCGGUGCACCAAAUUAAUUUAGGACAACUUUUCAACAACCCACUCUUAAAUAUUAUACAAUAUAAUAUAUAUCAGUACAUCACACAAUUAGUAGCUUUAGUACAAUUAGUGAAUAAACAUAGAGACAAAGUCAUAGAAGGCGAGGGAGAGUGUGACAAGAUUUUUUAUUUUAUUUACCAUGUUUUUAUUUCUAUAAAACAUAUUGCAGGUUGUGUUUUGGUUGCUAAGCUUUUUUAUUAUAUAAUAUAUGACGGCGUUAACAAUAUUUCUAAUAAACAUCACGUGCAACAGGCGUGACUCACACAAGCCGGGUGCGCCGGCCGUGUCGUUCCACUCGUGCAACAGAAGUGACUCAUAAGCCAGCUGCGCCGGCUAGUAUAAAAAGGCGGUGCGUGCCUUGCGAGAAACAUUCGUUGGACUGCGCUUGCCUGGUGCACUUACUAUAUCCUUGUUACGUUGUGUGAUUCAGUGACUGUUGUACGUACUGGUUAAAGUUGGACAAGUGUUAAAGUGAAUUGUUAAGAUAACAUAUUGUUGAUUAAAUCAGGAAUCAGAAGUGACAUCGUUUUACUUGGUGUUCAACAAGAUAAUGUCUACCCUCAAGCUUACAUCAGAAGUGGGAUCAGGACUCUACUCUCACUGGCGUGACGUGUUUGAACAUGUUCGAAGUACAGCAAAAAAAAAAACAUGAUGCAGAUCAGAAUACUAGUAGUGGUACGCCACAAGAGCGUGAAUGCAGCAUACGUAAGUCGUGUAAUAACGUCUCUGUUACCUCGAUGGAAGAUCUGAGCCACGAAGAAAUCGUCACAUCUUACGUUCUGGCUCAUGUUGCCCAGUUUGACUGUCGACUUCAUCACAUGGCAUUUACUAACGGAAAUACAACACGUUCGAUCGCAAUAAUGGAUCUGUCGUGACGAGUGGGUAGUUCCGACACGAAUCGUUUUUAAGCCAAUGACUACUGCUAGAGUUACAUGGCACUAGUACAGUAAACCAGGACAUGAGACUGUGAAUUGUCGCUGAAAUUUUAGAAUCUACUCGAUUCAAUACCAAUAACACUACACGUUCGAUGACUUCGGGCUCCAGCAAGCAAGCAAACAAGAAAGCAAGCAAGUUUCCGUGGGGAAGAAAAAUUGACACAUCUGAAGUCGUCGUGACCUGUAAGAUAAGACGUCCGGUGCGUUCGUGUCUGGCGAUGCGGCGGUGUUCGGGUUCCGCUGGCGGAUGCAGGUUUUUCCGGUGAAGUGCGUGCUUGUGCGUGCUUGACAAGUGUUCGCGGUUGGCUUCCUCAGUGUGGGAGUAACAUCGUGUAAGAGAGGUGGAACCCGUAAAAUUGUAGUUUGCGUGGUGGCUGGUAAGAUUUGUUGCGGUAAGAAGUUUGCAUGGUGGUAAAAUGUCUUGUGAGUCUGCACAGGUAGCCGGAGGUGAGACUUCCACGGUCGCGGCCCACCCAGUCCGCGAGAACCGGGCAGAUCGCCUCGACGGUACGGAGGCCGGCCGACGGGUCCGCCAAACGACGAGACCACGCCUCCAGCACGGACUGCCGAUAUUGGAGCCCCCGCGCUCCGGCUGCACUUGCGCUAGGGCGCGCCGCCUCGUAGGAGACUGUGAGCCUGCAAAACCUGAACAACCUCCUCAUCCGUGGGCGCCCGGCUCUCGCCUGCAAGUCGGCUGUUACGUGUGCGGUGAUGCGAGCCAUGUAGCUUCUGGGUGUUCCAUGCGCUACAAGAAGAAAAACGACACUGCUCCAGGUGCUGUGGCAGGUCCAACCAGAGACGUCAACGUGUGUUCCAGAGCUUCAGUGUGUUACAGAUAAGUGGUUUUGGCUCCCCCUUUAUGUUCCAUUCAGGGUCAGAAUGUAGUCUUAUAAAACAAAGCCAUAGUAAUUUAUUCAAUGGUAAGCGGUUUCAUGAACAAGUCACCGUAGUCAUCCUAGACACGUCCUUACGGAUCCAUCAGAUCCAAUAACUCUUGCAUUAGAUACCUUCAGCUCUAACACUAGGAGCAGGCUGAGGAACCCCAGUAAUCGUACUCGUCGAACUCGACAAAGAGGUCGACGUGCAACCUAACCCAUGCAUCAGCCCACUGAGUUUCUCGCCGGAUCUUCUCAGUGGGUCGCGAUUCCCAUCCGGUAGUAGAUUCAUUCGCGAAGCGAUUGCUCUUGAGUUGUUAGGUCUCCUGCGGAGGCGCUCGGGCAGUUGUUAGCAAAUCCCACCCCUCUUGGCUGAGCCUUUGCUCGCCCACCCGUCCUGGUGAAGCGGGAAAGGCCUCCGGGCCACCAUCUUUCAAUCAUCUGCAGUUUUGGAAAACGAUAGGUAUAAGUUGAGAUAUGUAAAUGGUUCUAGUGUACAAAGUUCCCCAUGAAAACUUACGCGAAGUACCUCGAGGCCCGUCAGGCCUACUAGAAAUUUCUGAAAAUUAUAGUGACGAUGACGUGACGGCGUACACAGAUGGGUUAAUUAAUCUUGUUCGUGAAACUGAUCUUAAUGAUGACGACUCUAUCACUGACAAUAGAAGCGACAUUUUUGUCCGCAAAUAGCGAUACAGCAAACAUAGUCUGUGGGUAGUGAUACAAUGUCUGUAAGCUCAGGCACCUCAGGUGCAGGUGUUGGAAAUGUAGAAAACGAUGGUCGGUCUCGCACUAUUUCUGAAGAAAUUUCGUAUAAAUGUUCUGGUUUAAGAAAUGUUUUAACAAACGCUACCGUACACGCAGAUAAAAAAAAAAAAAAAAAAAAAAGGAGAGAAUUGUAUGUGGCUAGAGAGAUGUUAAUCCGGACUAGCAAAAAAAAAAAGAGAAAAAAAAAAAAAAAAAAAAAGUGUGAAGUCAUUGAAGGGUCUGUCCGGUCCAAUGGCUUGGCUAUAGGGAUUUUCAUCCAGAUUAGCCACAACAAUUAGCUACAGGGAUUGCGAUCCGGUCUAGCAUUAUCCGGUCCAGUUCGAAAAACUGAAGGGAUAACAAUUCCGAUUUAAGUUAAAAGGGACAUACUUACAUACCUGAAGAGAUUUAAAUGAACUGGCCCAGGUAUGUAAGCAGUCAGUAUUUAUAGCCAGUAUAGGAUUUUCUGAAGAAUUAUGCGAACCGAACCGUAUUAGAUUGUUAAUAUCAUAGACCACGUUUUAAGUUGCAUCCGUUAAUGUCAGGAUGAACGAAUACGCUUAUUGUCUACAGAACAACCAUAAAAAGGCGCACGAGGACGAGCGCAUGUCAGUAUGGCCGUGACGGCGUUAACAAUAUUUCUAAUAAACAUCACGUGCAACAGGCGUGACUCACACAAGCCGGGUGCGCCGGCCGUGUCGUUCCACUCGUGCAACAGAAGUGACUCAUAAGCCAGCUGCGCCGGCUAGUAUAAAAAGGCGGUGCGUGCCUUGCGAGAAACAUUCGUUGGACUGCGCUUGCCUGGUGCACUUACUAUAUCCUUGUUACGUUGUGUGAUUCAGUGACUGUUGUACGUACUGGUUAAAGUUGGACAAGUGUUAAAGUGAAUUGUUAAGAUAACAUAUUGUUGAUUAAAUCAGGAAUCAGAA